UACGUAGGGUGCGAGCGUUGUCCGGAAUUACUGGGCGUAAAGAGCUCGUAGGCGGCUUGUUGCGUCGACUGUGAAAACCCGCGGCUUAACUGCGGGCUUGCAGUUGAUACGGGCAGACUAGAGUGUGGUAGGGGGAGACUGGAAUUCCAGGUGUAGCGGUGAAAUGCGUAGAUAUCUGGAGGAACACCGGUGGCGAAGGCGGCAUUCUGGACUGUAACUGACACUGAGGAACGAAAGCCAGGGGAGCAAACGGG
rnacentral:rRNA from 1 species